rnacentral:rRNA from 1 species
UACAGAGGUCUCAAGCGUUGUUCGGAUUCAUUGGGCGUAAAGGGUGCGUAGGCGGCGCGGUAAGUCGGGUGUGAAAUUUCGAGGCUUAACUUCGAAACUGCAUUCGAUACUGCCGUGCUUGAGGACUGGAGAGGAGACUGGAAUUUACGGUGUAGCGGUGAAAUGCGUAGAGAUCAUGAGGAAGACCAGUGGCGAAGGCGGGUCUCUGGGACGGUACUGACGCUGAGACGCGAAAGCGUGGGGAGCGAACAGG